CAGCAGUAGCCACGGUAAAACGGAGGGGGCUAGCGUUGUUCGGAAUUACUGGGCGUAAAGCGCACGUAGGCGGCUUUGUAAGUCAGAGGUGAAAGCCCGGGGCUCAACCCCGGAAUUGCCUUUGAGACUGCAUCGCUUGAAUCCAGGAGAGGUGAGUGGAAUUCCGAGUGUAGAGGUGAAAUUCGUAGAUAUUCGGAAGAACACCAGUGGCGAAGGCGGCUCACUGGACUGGUAUUGACGCUGAGGUGCGAAAGCGUGGGGAGCAAACAGGAUUAGAUACCCCUGUAGUCCCUGUCUCUUAUAA
rnacentral:rRNA from 1 species